rnacentral:rRNA from 2 species
UGAGGAAUAUUGGUCAAUGGACGCAAGUCUGAACCAGCCAAGUAGCGUGCAGGAUGACGGCCCUAUGGGUUGUAAACUGCUUUUAUAUGGGGAUAAAGUGGGGAACGUGUUCCCUUUUGCAGGUACCAUAUGAAUAAGGACCGGCUAAUUCCGUGCCAGCAGCCGCGGUAAUACGGAAGGUUCGGGCGUUAUCCGGAUUUAUUGGGUUUAAAGGGAGCGUAGGCCGUUUGGUAAGCGUGUUGUGAAAUGUAGGAGCUCAACUUCUAGAUUGCAGCGCGAACUGUCAGACUUGAGUGCGCACAACGUAGGCGGAAUUCAUGGUGUAGCGGUGAAAUGCUUAGAUAUCAUGAAGAACUCCGAUUGCGAAGGCAGCUUACGGGAGCGCAACUGACGCUGAAGCUCGAAGGUGCGGGUAUCGAACAGGAUUAGAUACCCUGGUAGUCCGCACAGUAAACGAUGGAUGCCCGCUGUUAGCACCUAGUGUUAGCGGCUAAGCGAAAGCAUUAAGCAUCCCACCUGGGGAGUACGCCGGCAACGGUGAAACUCAAAGGAAUUGACGGGGGCCCGCACAAGCGGAGGAACAUGUGGUUUAAUUCGAUGAUACGCGAGGAACCUUACCCGGGCUUGAAUUGCAGAUGAACGAUUUAGAGAUAAUGAGGUCCUUCGGGACAUCUGUGAAGGUGCUGCAUGGUUGUCGUCAGCUCGUGCCGUGAGGUGUCGGCUUAAGUGCCAUAACGAGCGCAACCCCUUUCUUUAGUUGCCAUCAGGUCAUGCUGGGCACUCUGGAGAUACUGCCACCGUAAGGUGUGAGGAAGGUGGGGAUGACGUCAAAUCAGCACGGCCCUUACGUCCGGGGCUACACACGUGUUACAAUGGGUGGUACAGAUAGUUGGUCGUGUGCAAAUACGAUCUAAUCCUUAAAACCAUUCUCAGUUCGGACUGGGGUCUGCAACCCGACCCCACGAAGCUGGAUUCGCUAGUAAUCGCGCAUCAGCCAUGGCGCGGUGAAUACGUUCCCGGCCU